GCGGAUGUGGCGGAAUGGCAGACGCGCUAGACUUAGGAUCUAGUCCUUUUUGAGGGUGGGAGUUCAAAUCUCCCCGUCCGCA
rnacentral:tRNA from 1 species